rnacentral:rRNA from 1 species
GACGAACGCUGGCGGCGUGCCUAAUACAUGCAAGUCGAGCGGACAGAAGGGAGCUUGCUCCCGGAAGUUAGCGGCGGACGGGUGAGUAACACGUGGGCAACCUACCCUGUAGAUCGGGAUAACAUCGAGAAAUCGGUGCUAAUACCGGAUAAUCAUUUGAAGUGCAUGCUUCGAAUGUAAAAGAUGGCUCCGGCUAUCACUACGGGAUGGGCCCGCGGCGCAUUAGCUAGUUGGUAAGGGAAUGGCUUACCAAGGGAACGAUGCGUAGCCGACCUGAGAGGGUGAUCGGCCACACUGGGACUGAGACACGGCCCAGACUCCUACGGGAGGCAGCAGUAGGGAAUCUUCCGCAAUGGACGAAAGUCUGACGGAGCAACGCCGCGUGAGUGAUGAAGGUUUUCGGAUCGUAAAGCUCUGUUGUUAGGGAAGAACAAGUGCCGUUUGAAUAAGGCGGCACCUUGACGGUACCUAACCAGAAAGCCACGGCUAACUACGUGCCAGCCGCCGCAGUAACAC